rnacentral:rRNA from 1 species
AUUGAACGCUGGCGGCAUGCUUUACACAUGCAAGUCGAACGGUAACAGGCCGCAAGGUGCUGACGAGUGGCGAACGGGUGAGUAAUGCAUCGGAACGUGCCCAGUCGUGGGGGAUAACGCAGCGAAAGCUGCGCUAAUACCGCAUACGACCUAUGGAUGAAAGCGGGGGACCGUAAGGCCUCGCGCGAUUGGAGCGGCCGAUGUCAGAUUAGGUAGUUGGUGGGGUAAAGGCUCACCAAGCCGACGAUCUGUAGCUGGUCUGAGAGGACGACCAGCCACACUGGGACUGAGACACGGCCCAGACUCCUACGGGAGGCAGCAGUGGGGAAUUUUGGACAAUGGGGGCAACCCUGAUCCAGCAGUGCCGCGUGCAGGAAGAAGGCCUUCGGGUUGUAAACUGCUUUUGUACGGAACGAAACGGCUCUGGUUAAUACCUGGGGCUAAUGACGGUACCGUAAGAAUAAGCACCGGCUAACUACGUGCCAGCCGCCGCAGUAAAAC